rnacentral:misc_RNA from 1 species
GAGUAAGGGUCUAACCGGCCCGAACCUCCAACCCUUUGUCGUUAUAACACCAUGUUGCUUUGGCGGGACCGCCGCGCUCCCCUUCACGGGGGGGACGGCUACCGGUCUUCGGCUCGGUAAGCGCCCGCCAGAGGUAAAAAAAAACUCUUGCAUUUAACAGGUAGUCUGAGUUGAUAUUUAAUUAAAUCAAAACUUUCAACAACGGAUCUCUUGGUUCU